rnacentral:rRNA from 1 species
AAAUUGAAGAGUUUGAUCAUGGCUCAGAUUGAACGCUGGCGGCAGGCCUAACACAUGCAAGUCGAGCGGAAACGAGUUAUCUGAACCUUCGGGGGACGAUAACGGCGUCGAGCGGCGGACGGGUGAGUAAUGCCUAGGAAAUUGCCCUGAUGUGGGGGAUAACCAUUGGAAACGAUGGCUAAUACCGCAAGAUGCCUACGGGCCAAAGA